GACGAACCGAGCGAACGUUGUUCGGAAUCACUGGGCUUAAAGGGCGCGUAGGCGGGUGCUCAAGUCUGUGGUGAAAUCCUCCAGCUCAACUGGAGAACUGCCAUGGAUACUGGGUGUCUCGAGGGUGGUAGGGGUAUGCGGAACUAUCGGUGGAGCGGUGAAAUGCGUUGAUAUCGAUAGGAACUCCGGUGGCGAAGGCGGCAUACUGGACCACAUCUGACGCUGAGGCGCGAAAGCCAGGGGAGCGAACGGG
rnacentral:rRNA from 1 species